CUGAUUGGAAAAUUAGUUUGACACAUGAUGAAAACAUUUCUGAAAAGCACUGAGAGAAAAAAGAACGAGUGCGGAGUGAACAAAGUUUGAAACUUGAGUCGUCAGUAAAAACGAGUAAAUAUAGGGUGUCCCAAAGUCUCCAUACACACGUUUUAGCAACAAACAAACAAACAAAAAUCACACUUAGUUUAUAUUAUAAAUGUUUAUUUUUUUUCAGGUAGCCUGUAAGAACGCCUUUGAUGAAAGCAGAACCUGUUGAAAUUCUCGAGGCUGGAUCGGGACGCUGUCGCAAGGUUAUGAUGGACGUCAACAGAAAACAUACCAAACGCUUCACACGCAAUGCUGUCGCCAACCUGGGAGCCAAAGGUGGCAGAGACGAUGCUGAACCCAGUCAGUUCUUCAAUUUUCAACCCACAAUCAUCAUAUGACAUCUGAGCUCACUGCUGCAGCAACAUUUACUCAACAUAUGAAACAGCGGUCAUGGGGAGCCUGGAGCCUAUCCCUGGAGUCUCGAGCACAAGGCAGGGGACAUGUUGGACGGGGUGCCAACACACUGCAGGAUCAUCACAACACAAUCACACACAUUUACACACUACAGACAAUUUUGGGAACGACAAUCAGCCUACAGCUCAGGUCUUGGACUGGUGGAGGAAACCGGAAUACCUGAAGGAAAGUCCCGAAGCAUUGGGAGAACAUGAAACUCCACAUAUAUAUAUAUGUGAAGGAGGC
ensembl:lncRNA